GUCCAUAACAUGGAGGGACUGCCUGCACAAAAUACUAGGGGUGGCUAUUCUACACAUCCCUACACUACAAAUAUACUUUUGCUUAUUGUCUGAAUUACUAAUUCACUAAGUAGGUAAAAAAUGUAAAUAAAAGUAAAAUCACUUUCUACUUCCUAGUCUGACAAUCUGUUAAAACAAAACACUGAUCCACAGAGAAGCACUUAGUAAACAAAACCCAUAUUUUCCACUUAACUGCAUCCUUUUUUAUUCUUUAAGACACUGACAUUGUGGACAAUCUGCAAUCUCAGGUAAUGGUAGUAGUGUGGUUGACUCCAGAAAAUACUGAAUAUCCAGCCCAAUAUCUGUAACCGCAAGAAUCGAGUCCUGCUCUUCCUUAUCUUUCACUUCCAGCAUCUUUCCUCUCCACUAGCUGCCACUCUCCUUUCGCUCUGCCUCUUCCUCGUUGUAACAUUCUCCUCCCCUUCAUUUUUUCUUAUGCUUUUCCUUCUAUUCCGUUUCCUUGUCCCAUGUUCCUCCUCCUCUCAUACUUGUUUUCGCAUUUCCCAUUCCUCUCACAGCGUAUCCACUCUUUCCGCUUUCUCCGCCCGUUCCCCUCUUCCUCCUCCCUCCUUCCUCCUUCCCACCUCCAUUUCUCGCAGCAUCCUCCAGGAGGUAGAAGGAGAAAGCAGAGGGAGUGCCCUGCGCUCAAGCACCGUUACUAUCAAAAGGCUGCACAGACUAUACGUUUGGGUGGUGGCGGAAAAGCAGGAAGCGUUCGCGCAAGGAUCGCACAUUUUCAUUUAGACGAUUCGGUCCAUAUUUAUUUUGUCUGUGUUCCUGAUUAUUUGGCGCAACAAAUACUCCCAUCUUUUCAACGUUUUAUCUGCAGGGUUCGCAUCCCUUUUAUCCUCCAUUGUCUCCUGCUUAAUUUUUAUUUUUAAAUCAGCCAUAUUUUAUUUUUACUUUUGAUCGUCCAUUUCCAUCCUUCUAGGUUGCCAUUGACUUUUCAGCUUCCGGCCUGAUGCACGAGCUUUAUCCUUUUUUGCCAGCCUGCUUUAUUUCAUACGAUUUCUCUUGCUGUCAUUGAAACUCCCAUCCUUCGCAUUUCUACCCCUCACAUCCCCCCCCUCCCACCCUGAUGGCUCUAUUCUAGCAACCCCUCCUCCCCUGUCCGCUUACUAUUCAGGGAGGGGAGGUGUCAUGAUGCAGAGAAAGGUAAAGCCCCCCUCUGGGGCAGUUCCUGGUCGCUCUGCUGAACUUCGUGUUUUUCGUGGCCCAACUAAUGCAGUGCAUGAGUCACGUCUGCCGGGCGCUCCUCUUCGCCGGCAGCGCUCUCUUACAAAUCUUUCGGUGCUAACGGAUGCUGAAAAAAAGUUACGCCUGUGUGGCCCUGAUUGGUGUGAUGAUCUCUCUACUGUGAACUCCUCUAGGACCCAAAAUGCUGCCCCACCAUCUCCUGCUAUGUCAAGGGCAUUGUCCCGUUCAGAGCAUUCUCUUCUGCAGCCUAGGACCCCAAGCCGUAUUCCCCGUGGUCCCUAUGCAGAGGUAAAACCUUUAAGCAAGGCACCGGAAACCUCUUCAGGAGUAUCUGUUGGAGGAGAUCCUGGCAAAGAGGCUGCUGAAGACAAGAAGGCAUUCUUAAAGGUGGACCCGGAGUUAGUAGUGACUGUGUUGGGCGACUUGGAGCAGCUGCUUUUCAGCCAGAUGUUAGAUCCCGAAACCCAGCGAAAGCGAACCGUUCAAAAUGUUUUGGAUCUCAGACAGAACCUGGAAGAGACUAUGUCUAGUCUGCGUGGUUCCCAAGUUACGCACAGCUCCCUAGACAUGCAAUGUUAUGACAGCGAUGAUGCCAACCCUCGGAGCAUCUCCAGCCUCUCUAAUCGUUCUUCUCCAGUGUCUUGGCGUUAUGGACAAGCUAGCCCAAGGUUGCAAGCAGGGGAGGCUCCAUCACUGGGUGGAUGUCGAUCAGAGAGUGGUGUUGGAGGUUGGCAGUUCUCUCACACUAUGCCUCUACGUGGUGGAGCAAGAAUCUGCAACAUUACUCAACAUUUAGAUUUAAUAGAUUCUGGUGAUCGUGAUUUAAAAAGUGGUUAUGGAAGUGACAGUGAUUACCCGCUGGGCAAAGAAGCAACAAAUGAUGAUGAUGACAUCAUCACCAGUUGGGACGAAAGCAGUUCGAUCAGCAGUGGCCUCAGUGAUGCCUCUGGUAAUCUCAGCUCUGAAGACUGUAAUGCUGUCUCUCUCGCUUCAAUGCCAUCUACUCCUACUGCAUCUCGAAGAAGUUCUGCUAUUGCUCUCCGAACAGAUUCAGAGAAGCGUUCACUGGUAGAAAGUGGACUAAGCUGGCACAGUGAACCUGAAGAACGUGCACCACGUAGGAUGGAAUAUGACAGUGGCAGUCUCAAAUCAGAGCAUGGGUCUUCACGUUGGAGACGGGAGAAAAGUGAUGAUCCCUCCAAACAUGAAACAAAAAAACCUGUCACUCUUGGGCAGCCACUUCGUAAGGGGAAGAAUCCACCAGUGGGAGUCACAUCACCCAUUACCCACACAGGACAAAUAGCCCAAAAAGGAGGCAAAACAGAGCAGAAAGCAACUGAUAAAUCCAAACUCACACUAAAGACAGCAGCUCUCCAAAGAUCCUCUUCAGAUGCUGGUCGAGACCCACGUUCCCCUGAUGCUAAGAAACCCCCAUCUGGCAUUUCCCGUCCAGCCACUUCAUUUGGGUAUAAGAAGCCUGCAACACCUUCUUCCCCUAUCACUGGCUGCUCCACCACCCUAGGAAAAUCCCAGAAGACCUCAGGAAUCCCAGUUAAGCCGCCACCUGGGUCUGCAGGGAUCAGUAGGAAGACUAGCCUAGAUGUAUCAGGGGUAACAGAGGCUGGUUUCCUCUCACCGUCAGCUCGAACCAACAUUCAGUACCGCAGCCUACCACGUCCAGCCAAAUCAAACACAAUGAGUGUUACUGGAGGAAAGGGUACUAGUCGGCCCCUUAGCAGCACCAUUGAUGCAAGUUUGGUUCCAGUGCAGGGGAAGUCUGUUGGAGUCCCCAACUCACGUCUGAAGGAGCCUUCCAAGGUAGGAUUAGUUCGACUGGGGGUAAAUCAGACUGACCGUGAGAAGGAAAAGGCUCGUGCUAAGGCUGUGGCCCAGGACACACAGAGCAGAGUAGGCAACGCCAACCAAAUAGAGCACCAAGGUCACAAAGGAAAGGAACCAACUGCAACAACCCCACACAAGGCUGUAACAAAACCAUUCUUAAAGACACCAACCCUCUCCAAUUUGGAUAAAGUUAAUUCAAACAGCCUUGAUUUCUCUGUGCCAGAGGAGCCCCAGAACAAACAAUUAGAACUUUCCCAAGGAGGACCCUGCCUUACUCCCAGCCCAGCUCCUAUCUUGAAUAUCAACACUGCAAGCUUCUCCCAGGGUAUUGGCAGCUUAAGGAUGUAUCCAAAACUAUCUGGGUUGCACCGUAGUAUGGAGUCUCUUCCUCUGUCUAUCAGUGUGCCCCCUUCACCUCCUGCAGUUGAGGAGAUGAACUCACCAAACACCUGCUGGAGUGACAUGAAGAUCAAGUCUCCUGUAACUGAGAGCUCUAUACAAGACAGAAACACUUUGCCGAAAAAAGGUUUGAGAUACCAGUCACACUCUCAGGAUGAAUCAAAGGAGAGGCGGCACUCACACACAAUUGGAGGAAUCCAGGAUGCUGAAGAUCUGUCUCCUCUACCUCCACCUCUUCCCCUUACCAGUGUGGGAAAGCCUCCAUUAAGCAAUUUGGUGAGUCCUUCGUCUGUUCCACGCAUUGCUCGUUCAAGUAGUAUUCCAGCUCAGGAAUCAUCCUUUGAACUUUUUGGUUCUUCGAACAUAGGCAGUUCUCUGUCACUUGCAGAACGUCCUAAAGGAACAAUGACAAGAUCUGGCUCAUUCCGUGACCACAGUGAUGAUGUUCAUGGAUCAGUCCUGUCUCUGGCAUCAAGUGCAUCUUCUACAUACUCCUCCGCUGAGGAAAAGAUGCAGUCUGAGCAAAUACGAAAACUUCGCAGAGAACUGGAGUCCUCACAGGAAAAAGUAGCAACUCUUACUUCACAGUUGUCUGCUAAUGCAAACUUGGUUGCAGCAUUUGAACAAUCUUUAGUAAAUAUGACAUCUAGACUACGUCUGCUUGCAGAUACUGCUCAUCAGAAGGACUCAGAACUUGUAGAAUUAAAAGAUACAAUUGAUUUACUGAAGUCAAAGAAUUCCGAAGCCCAAGCUGUUAUCCUCGGCGCACUGAACCCAACAGACACAAUAUCAAGGGAACUACGCAUCCGGAGGCAGAAUUCCUCUGACAGCAUUUCUAGUCUUAACAGCAUUUCAAGUCAUUGUAGUGCUGGAAGUAUCAAGGACAAUGAGAGUAAGAAAAAGAAGAAGAAGAGUUGGCUCCGUAGUUCCUUUAACAAGGCAUUCAGCAUGAAAAAGGGCCCCAAGACGGCUUCUUCCUACUCUGAUAUUGAAGAAAUGGCUACCCCUGAUUCCUCUGCUCCAACAUCCCCCAAGCAACAACAUGGCCAGACUGGCCCCCCUUCUCCUUCUCUGCACUCUUCCCCAUCUUCUUCUGUGAUCUUUGAGGCUCAGGAAGGGGAAGAGCCAGAGAAAAGAGAGGUCUCAGAGUUGCGCUCAGAAUUGUGGGAGAAAGAAAUGAAACUGACAGAUAUUCGUCUGGAAGCUCUAAAUUCUGCUCACCAAUUGGAGCAGUUACGAGAAACCAUGCACAAUAUGCAGUUGGAAGUGGACCUUUUGAAGGCAGAAAAUGACCGCCUUAAAGUUGUUCCAGCACCUAGAGGCACUGAGUCUUCCUGUCCCUCUCCUCGACGUUCCUUAGCAUUAUCUCUAACACCGUCCUUAGGCACCCCUGCAUCAACAGAUACAGAUCUUUCUCCUAUGGAUGGGUUGAAUGGAUCUCUACAACGUGAGGUAACAGUAACACUACGCACAGUGGUCAGAGUUCCUCCUCAGCAUAUUAUUAAAGGGGACUUAAAGCAACAGGAGUUCUUCCUAGGCUGUGUAAAUAUCAACACCAAGGCUGACUGGCAAAGUGUGGACGAUACUGUGUGCCAGGCAUUUCAGGAUUAUUUAAAUCGUUUGGAUCCUGGAUCCACUCUAGGAUUGGGGAAAGAGUCUUUGAGUGGUUAUAGUUUGGGUCAUAUAAAAAGAGGGUUGGACACAGAGCUACCUGACACACCCCCUUCCAGGAUCUUGAGGAGCUGUACAAACAUCCUUUUGCAUCUCAAAGGUCUAAAGGAGAGGUGUGUGGAUCUCCUCAUCUUUGAGUCGCUUAUUCCCAAACCUAUGCUGCAGCAUUAUGUAAGUUUACUACUUAAGCACCGCCGAUUGCUGCUGUCUGGUCCUAGCGGUACAGGGAAGAGCUUUCUUGCCCACCGUCUUGCAGAAUACUUAGUUGAAAGGUCGGGACGUGAGAUCUGUGAAGGCAUCGUUACUGCCUUUAACAUGCAUCAGCAGAGCUGCAAGGAUUUGCAGCUGUACCUGUCUAACCUGGCAAACCAGAUUGACAGAGAAACAGGGUCAUGUGAGGUCCCUUUAGUGAUCCUGUUGGAUGAUGUGAGUGAAGGUGGAGCCAUCAGUGAGCUGGUGAAUGGGGCCCUGACCUGCAAGUAUCACAAGUGCCCUUACAUCAUUGGGACAACUAAUCAGCCUGUGAAGAUGAGCCCAAACCAUGGACUGCACUUAAGCUUCCGGAUGUUGACAUUCUCUAAUAAUGUGGAGCCUGCUAAUGGAUUCCUGGGACGGUACCUACGCAGAAAACUACUAGAAUCAGAGGGCAGUAUCGGAACUGGACAUGCAGAGCUUCUUCGAGUAUUGGAUUGGGUGCCUCGUCUUUGGUAUCAUCUGCACACUUUCUUGGAGAAAUACAGCACCCCUGAUUUCCUCAUAGGUCCAUGCUUCUUUUUAUCCUGUCCUGUUGGAAUUGAGGAUUUCCGUGUCUGGUUUAUUGAUCUGUGGAACAACUCCAUCAUCCCAUACCUUCAAGAAGGUGCCAAAGAUGGAAUCAAGCCAUCAGACUGGUGUUACAGUGAGAUACAAGUAAUGAUGAGACAAAAUCAAGCAUCAAGGUCAGACCAAAGGGCCAGGGCAAUUGGUCCAUGGACACAAGGCAGCAUGGGAAGAUCCUGUGGAGUGGGUCAGAGACACACUUCCUUGGCCAAUGGCACAACAAGAUCAGUCUAAGCUUUUACAUCUACCCCAGCCCACAGUGAGCACCCAUCAUUCUACAUCACCACCAAGAGAGCACAGCAUUAAAGAUUCCCCUACUACUUCACUGGAGACUGAUCCCUUGAUGGUGAUGCUCCUAAAACUUCAAGAAGCUGCCAACUUCAUUGAGUCCCCAGACAGAGAAACAAUUUGUGAUAGUGACCUCACCACCACUAUUUAAAAAUUCACAACAUGGAAUGUUGCAGUGCAAUAAAAAGCGAAGAACUGCACACACAGUUAACAUCUCAAGAACUGAUGUGGACAACAAUGAAUUCAUUAUGAAGCAAGGAUGUCAACCUAGCGCCACUUAUUUAUUGGAGCAUGGAUGACUCAGCUCAUCUUCUAAUUGUGAUUAUUACCUAAUACCAUCAUAAGUAGGUCAAUGGACAAGGAAAGCAUGAAACAGACUGGUGUUUUGGUUUAUUUUUAAUGAUCAUCUUAUUCAACCAUUGGGUAAUACAGGUUAAAGGAAAAUAUACACUUAUUACAGAAUAUUAUGGAAUAGUGAUGUGUAAUUGGUCUGUCUGCACAUCAAAUGAAAUUUAUUUUCUUGGAUCUCAUUUCUGGUUCCCAAUGACUGGCCAAUAUCAAAUAGUUUCUAAAUACAAAAGAGAUUAUCACUAGUGGACACUUGGGGCUAGAGAUCUGGUAUUUAAUUGAAAGACUGUUAUCACUAUACUUCCUUAAUCUGACAUAACUUUCAAUGUGAUAAUUUAAUUGUUUAUAGGGAAUUUUAAAUAUUCACAUAAAUCAAAUUAAUAUGUGACCCUAAACUAAAUAUAGCUAUAGCUUACUUUAUGUAUAAUUAUGUUCCCACUAUCUAGACUGAGCCCGCUCAAAGUAAUUUUAUGUCUAUGAAGGUGUUGGACCAACGCAUACACCUUUAUCCUAUAUGGCCACACAUGCUAAAACCCUGCUGAAGAUAGUUACCCUUAAGAGCCUCAUCAUGUCUGAAUAAAUGCAUGAUGUUAUUGAUUAAAAUUAAUUUUAUGCUGUUUAAUCCAGAGCCAUGUCUUUGAAAUAUUGCAUUUCAGGGAUUUGUCUUAAGCACUAUUUCCGAUGGAAAACAGUUUUUUUGUGCCACUAAUUUGAUGCCACAGAGAAUUAAAAUACACUGGGGAGCACUACUUAAAACAUACACAUCGUUAAAAAACAUGAAUAACCUGACUAGAGGUACAGUAUUGUAUAAAACAUUUAUAUAAUGUAGAGCACUGUUAUCAACAAAUCGAACAGAGCAAUAGCAAUUAAUUUUUAGCUAUAGUGUUAUUAUGAGUGUACUAUGUGCAUAAUUUGCACACUUUUAAAUCUUAGGUGGAACACGUGCAUCUUAUAAUUUCCCACGUAUAUAGCCUGGUGGAAAUUAUUUCCUUUUAUAUGCAAACAGAUACUUUUACAGCAGGUUUCAUUCAAUUUACACAACUUUUUAUGCUUCAGAUCAGAUGUGUUCAUUUUAUUGCAGUACACUGUGUUGUUAAAUGUAUGGCACUUUAUUUCUCUGCAUUGCUGGUCUCUGUGGUAGGGCAUAGUUUAUACACGCCGUUAGUGUGUGUUUGUUUUGCAGUAUGCAGUUCACUGGCUUCCAAUGCUGUAACAGAGCAUUGGGACCUUGGUGCUGAAUUCCGGUGCUUACUCUUUUAUAGGAGGAUUGGGUGCCAUCAACAGAUCAAUGUAGUAUGCCUGUGUACUAAUUAUUCAUGUAUGGAUCAGUCACCUCUUUGGGCUUGCUUUGGUGCUCAGUCUUUGAAUGUAGGAAACACAAACCAUAUGAAGUAAAGUAAAACAUUAACAGUAUUUCUCCAGACAAAUAUCUCCGAUGGUCUCUUUAGCUUCCUACAGCAAAGGAAAGCAUACACUUAAUAUAUGAAUUCAACAAAGCUAAAAUACUAUGUACUAAAAGGCAGCAUCUGUAUAUACACACAGUGCAUGAACUGUAAAUCUGUACUUUUUACUUGACAAGUUGCAAUAACUCUUAUUGCUUUCCAUAAUUACUGCAAAGCAUUUGCUAAAUGUGAAGUUUUGUAAGGGACAGUUCAACACAAGCUGAACUGCCAUGUAAGGAAAGUGUAGUGUUGCAGUCUGUAUACUAAUCAUCAUCAUAUCAUGUUAUACACCUGAAAGCAUGGAGCACAGAGAUAGAUUGGUAAUACUAUAACAAAAUAACAUAUUUUCUUGCACUAGGUAAGGAAUAAACCAUAACCCUGUGUCUGAUGUGUCAAUAAACUGGGUUUUAUUUUAGACGGUUGCAAAAAUAAUUAUAUAGACAUUUGCUGAACAUAAGUUCAGUAUUUCACAUAUAAAAAUAUAUAAAGCAUCUAUUGAUUUGUGUGAAACAGUAUACAGAAAUGCAAUUCUGUAUAUUCAAUAGGCUUGUCUCCUUUAAUGAAAUAUUGCAUCUAGACGUAUUCAUGAAUAUAAUAAUACAAAAAAAAUACAUCUCUACACAUUUUGUUGUAAAGAGUAUUUAGAAUAAACUUUUAAAUGUUUA